AACCAGCACCUCAAGUGGUCAGGAUGAUUAUUGGGCCUAAAGCAUCCGUAGCUCGUUUUGUAAGUUUUCGGUUAAAUCCAUGCGCUUAACGUAUGGGCUGCCGGGAAUACUGCAUAACUAGGAAGUGGGAGAGGUAGACGGUACUCGGUAGGAAGGGGUAAAAUCCUUUGAUCUAUUGAUGACCACCUGUGGCGAAGGCGGUCUACCAGAACACGUUCGACGGUGAGGGAUGAAAGCUGGGGGAGCAAACCGGAUUAGAAACCCCGGUAGU
rnacentral:rRNA from 1 species